rnacentral:rRNA from 1 species
UACAGAGGGGGCAAGCGUUGUCCGGACUUACUGGGCGUAAAGCGUCCGCAGGUGGCGGUGCAAGUGUGAUGUGAAAGCCCCGCGCUUCACGCGGGGAGGCCAUUACCGACUGCACGGCUCGAGGGUUGCAGAGGGUCGUGGAAUUGCCGGUGUAGUGGUGAAAUGCGUAGAGAUCGGCAGGAACACCAAGGACGAAGGUAGCGACCUGGGCAACAGCUGACACUGAGGGACGACAGCGUGGGGAGCGAACCGG